rnacentral:rRNA from 1 species
AUUGAACGCUGGCGGCAUGCUUUACACAUGCAAGUCGAACGGCAGCACGGACUUCGGUCUGGUGGCGAGUGGCGAACGGGUGAGUAAUACAUCGGAACGUACCCAGUAAUGGGGGAUAACUAUCCGAAAGGAUAGCUAAUACCGCAUACGCCCUACGGGGGAAAGAGGGGGAUCGCAAGACCUCUUGUUAUUGGAGCGGCCGAUGGCUGAUUAGCUAGUUGGUGAGGUAAAGGCUCACCAAGGCGACGAUCAGUAGCGGGUCCUAGAGGACGGUCCGCCAAACUGGAACUGGGACACGGUCCAGACUCCUACGGGAGGCAGCAGGGGGGAAUCUUGGACAAUGGGCGCAAGCCUGAUCCAGCAAUGCCGCGUGCGUGAAGAAGGCCUUCGGGUUGUAAAGCGCUUUUGUCAGGGAGCAAAUCCUUGUGGCUAAUACCCACCGGGGAUGAGAGUACCUGAAGAAUAAGGACCGGCUAACUACGUGCCAGCAGCCGCAGUAA